AUUGAACGCUGGCGGCAUGCUUUACACAUGCAAGUCGAACGGUAACAGGCCGCAAGGUGCUGACGAGUGGCGAACGGGUGAGUAAUGCAUCGGAACGUGCCCAGUCGUGGGGGAUAACGCAGCGAAAGCCGCGCUAAUACCCCAUACGAUCUAUGGAUGAAAGCGGGGGACCGCAAGGCCUCGCGCGAUUGGAGCGGCCGAUGUCAGAUUAGGUAGGUGGUGGGGUAAAGGCUCACCAAGCCAACGAUCUGUAGCUGGUCUGAGAGGACGACCAGCCACACUGGGACUGAGACACGGCCCAGACUCCUACGGGAGGCAGCAGUGGGGAAUUUUGGACAAUGGGCGCAAGCCUGAUCCAGCAAUGCCGCGUGCAGGAAGAAGGCCUUCGGGUUGUAAACUGCUUUUGUACGGAACGAAACGGCUCUGGUUAAUACCUGGGGCUAAUGACGGUACCGUAAGAAUAAGCACCGGCUAACUACGUGCCAGCCGCCGCAGUAA
rnacentral:rRNA from 1 species